rnacentral:rRNA from 1 species
CUCGGUACCUCGCGAUGCUCUAGAUUAGAGUUUGUCCUGGCUCGGUGACGCUGGCGGCGUGCCUACCUGCAGUCGAACGGGACUCUAGUGACGGAGGCUUCGGCCAAGAAGCUUUGAGUCCAGUGGCGGACGGGUGAGUAACGCGUGGGGAACCUGCCCUGUACCGGGGGAUAACAGUGAGAAAUCACUGCUAAUACCGCAUAAGCGCACAUGGUCGCAUGACCGGGUGUGAAAAGCUCCGGCGAUACAGGAUGGACCCGCGUUGGAUUAGCUUGUUGGCGGGGUAACGGCCCACCAAGGCGACGAUCCAUAGCCGGCCUGAGAGGGUGACGGCCACAUUGGGACUGAGACACGGCCCAGACUCCUACGGGAGGCAGCAGUGGGGAUAUUGCACAUGGGGGAACCCUGAUGCAGCGACGCCGCGUGAAGAAGAGUAUCUCGGUAUGUAACUUCUAUCAGCAGGAGAUAUGACGUACUGACUAGAGCCCGGCUACUACGUGCAGCAGCCGCGGUAUACGUAGGGGCAGCGUAUCGGAUUA